UAGAGGUUGUAUAUUAAUUCAUACAAUUCGAUUUUGUGUUCAAACUCUCUGAAAUAUCAGCAGCUAUGGCCUGAUUUUCUUUUCUUCACACUUUGUUGAUAAUGUAACAGGUUGGUGAUAGAAUGAACAGGGAAGUUGGAACAAAUGAUGCUGAAAUAAACAAGUGUGAAAUGAAUAAAAAAGUUUCUUCAAUUGCUGAUAUUCUUGAGAACCAUCAUACAAAGAAGAAAAGGAGCAGGACUACUUGCAAACGACUUGCUUGAGGGGACUAAUAGAAUACACUUUGCAGCCCUGGACUUGAUGGUACAUUGGAAGCAUGCGGAUUGGGAGAUAUGAAGAUGUUUUUGAGAGAUGUAUGAUGAAGUGCUGUAC